rnacentral:rRNA from 1 species
GACGAACGCUGGCGGCGUGCCUAACACAUGCAAGUCGAGCGAGUGAAUCUCCUUCGGGAGUGAAGCUAGCGGCGGACGGGUGAGUAACACGUGGGCAACCUGCCUCAUAGAGGGGAAUAGCCUUUCGAAAGGAAGAUUAAUACCGCAUAAGAUUGUAGCUUCGCAUGAAGUAGCAAUUAAAGGAGCAAUCCGCUAUGAGAUGGGCCCGCGGCGCAUUAGCUAGUUGGUGAGGUAACGGCUCACCAAGGCGACGAUGCGUAGCCGACCUGAGAGGGUGAUCGGCCACAUUGGGACUGAGACACGGCCCAGACUCCUACGGGAGGCAGCAGUGGGGAAUAUUGCACAAUGGGGGAAACCCUGAUGCAGCAACGCCGCGUGAGUGAUGACGGCCUC